rnacentral:rRNA from 2 species
CACGUAGGAGGCGAACGUUAUCCGGAUUUACUGGGCGUAAAGCGCGUGUAGGUGGUUCUGUAAGUAGGGCGUGAAAGCUCCUGGCUCAACUGGGAGAGGCCGUUCUAAACUGCAGAGCUAGAGGAUGGUAGAGGAAGGUGGAAUUCCGGGUGUAGCGGUGGAAUGCGCAGAUAUCCGGAGGAACACCAGUGGCGAAGGCGGCCUUCUGGACCACUCCUGACACUCAGACGCGAAAGCUAGGGUAGCAAACGGG